UUUCCGUAGGUGAACCUGCGGAAGGAUCAUUAUUGUAUAACCGAGGUGCGAGGGCUGUCGCUGACCCGAAAGGUCGUGCACGCCCGAGUGCCCUCACACACAUCCACCUCACCCCUAUGUGCACCACCGCGUGGGUCCCCCUUUGGCUUGUUCGGAGGGGGGCUUACGUUUUCACACAAACUUUGUAUGCAGUGUAGAAUGUAUUUUUUGUUUUUGCGAUCACGCAAUCAAUACAACUCUCAACAACGGAUCUCUUGGCUCUC
rnacentral:misc_RNA from 1 species